UACGGGGGGGGCAAGCGUUGUUCGGAAUUACUGGGCGUAAAGGGCUCGUAGGCGGCCAACUAAGUCCGACGUGAAAUCCCAAGGCUUAACCUUGGAACUGCGUCGGAUACUGGAUGGCUUGAAUUCGGGAGAGGGAUGCAGAAUUCCAGGUGUAGCGGUGAAAUGCGUAGAUAUCUGGAGGAACACCGGUGGCGAAGGCGGCAUUCUGGACUGCAACUGACACUGAAAGACGAAAGCCAGGGGAGCAAACGGG
rnacentral:rRNA from 1 species